GAUGAAGAACGCAGCGAAAUGCGAUACGUAAUGUGAAUUGCAGAAUUCAGUGAAUCAUCGAAUCUUUGAACGCACAUUGCGCCCGCCAGUAUUCUGGCGGGCAUGCCUGUUCGAGCGUCAUUUCCACCAUCAGGCCCCCGGGCCUGUGUUGGGGACCUGCGGCUGCCCGCAGGCCCCGAAAUUCAGUGGCGGUCGCGCCGUAGCAACCGAGCGUAGUAACUAAAACGUCUCGCUCUGGCUCGCUGGGCGCGCUCCGGCCGUAAAACACCCCCCCUUUUCGCAAAGGUUGACCUCGGAUCAGGUAGGAAUACCCGCUGAACUUAAGCAUAUCAAUAAGCGGAGGA
rnacentral:misc_RNA from 1 species